rnacentral:rRNA from 1 species
UACGUAGGGUCCGAGCGUUGUCCGGAAUUAUUGGGCGUAAAGAGCUCGUAGGCGGUUUGUCGCGUCUGCUGUGAAAACUGGAGGCUCAACCUCCAGCCUGCAGUGGGUACGGGCAGACUAGAGUGCGGUAGGGGAGAAUGGAAUUCCAGGUGUAGCGGUGAAAUGCGUAGAUAUCUGGAGGAACACCGGUGGCGAAGGCGGCAUCCUGGACCGAUACUGACGCUGAGGAGCGAAAGCCAGGGGGAGCAAAACGGG